rnacentral:misc_RNA from 1 species
AGGGAACAAGUCCCGCAGAGAGAUGAUAAGUGGGAGAAAGAGUCAAAUUCAAAUCUCUUCUGGAAUGGAAGACCUCCCAUCCACUGACUACAAGACUGCAGCCUAACACCCAAGUUAGCCUGACGGUCAGCUAAAUGAGUCGCUUCCCUCUUCAUAUGAUGAAAUUUAACUCAACAUAUAUUGACAAAUUUUUUCUCAGGAUAAAGCAUAGGCGCCAAGGUUCUUGAUUAUUACCAUUCGCCCAUCUAAUCAUGUUAAGAGAACCCCUUUUUGUUUGAUAUGAUGACUUGAAAAAAAAAUCAAUAGUUUGGACAAAACUAUGGCCAUGCAGGAGAGUUUCUUCUUUUGAAAAGGUUGCAUUUUUGAUUCCUAGAGGAGACCUGUUCAAUUCCACAUGACAGCACCAUUGCCAUCUUUUAUGACUCCACCAUAAUCCGAAUUCCUAGAGUAGCCUUCCCUAUUCCUUCAAAGUUCAUCUUGAUGUGAUUUGAAGAGGAAAUUGCCACAAGAUUGAGAUAGAUAUGUUUGAAUUUAAAAAAAAAGUAAUGCAAUAAGACCUCGUCAUGUUCAUCCUUACUAACAUCCCAUACAAAAAAUGAAAUCUUUUUUAUGGUCUGGAUUUUUUCAAUCACCUUAACGAAGGAGGUGGACUUCAACCAAGCCAGCCCUUCUUAUGAAGUGGCUAUGGAGAUUUCCAAAGGAAAAAAAAAGAAAAAAAGCCAUGGUGCUCAUAUUUGGCUGCUAAGUACCUCUCCA